AGCGAACGCUGGCGGCAGGCCUAACACAUGCAAGUCGAACAAAGUCUUCGGACUUAGUGGCGGACGGGUGAGUAACACGUGGGAACGUGCCUUUAGGUUCGGAAUAACUCAGGGAAACUUGUGCUAAUACCGAAUGUGCCCUUCGGGGGAAAGAUUUAUCGCCUUUAGAGCGGCCCGCGUCUGAUUAGCUAGUUGGUGAGGUAAAGGCUCACCAAGGCGACGAUCAGUAGCUGGUCUGAGAGGAUGAUCAGCCACAUUGGGACUGAGACACGGCCCAAACUCCUACGGGAGGCAGCAGUGGGGAAUCUUGCGCAAUGGGCGAAAGCCUGACGCAGCCAUGCCGCGUGGAUGAUGAAGGUCUUAGGAUUGUAAAAUCCUUUCACCGGUGAAGAUAAUGACUGUAGCCGGAGAAGAAGCCCCGGCUAACUUCGUGCCAGCAGCCGCGGUAAGAC
rnacentral:rRNA from 1 species